GAAGUUUUGUACAAAGGAAGGAGGAGGAGGGGCCGGCAACAUUUAUCUCUGCGUGUAGGAGGAGGCAGGCAACAUUUAUUUUUUUCCGGACAAACGGAAAUUUGCAGGCAACAUUUUUCCUCCUCCUAUAUAUAAAGGAGCAGUUUUUCGAGGUCAAUUUCUCAAUUUGGGACGAAUUUGCCCCUCGAUUGCAAACAGUGCAAGCUUGGCCAGUUGGGUAGUUCGGUCUUUCCGGCUGCGUGCUAGCUGGUGUAAUCGGGGGCUCCGCGAGAUGCGUGUUGCAUCUGCGCCGUUCGUUUGUGUGUUUUCCCCCGCGGUUCUCUUCUUCACCGGGUUUUGUGUAGAUAUAUGCGAGGGGCUUGUGAAUUUGCUUCGGGCUUCCAGACUCUUCGGCGCUGUGCUCCAGGUAUUGUUCUUCCUCUCCAUCCUCCCCCCACCUCGGCGUUUGAUGUGUUUUAUGGUGUACCAUCGAUUGUGGUUUCGUCGAUUAUAGUUUCUCCUCUUUUUGCGAGUUUGUUUCGUGGUUGCUUGAGGUUUUGUUUUGUUUUGUUUUUUGAUAGCGGGUUUGUGUUUUGGGGUACGCAAACUGCCUUCCCGUUGUUUGUAUUGGUUGUGCCAUUGAGCCAUUUGUGCGACCUCUGUGCGUUCUGGGUUUUCUCAUUGAUGAGGAUGGUUGUUGCGUUUGGUUAGGUUUUGGUCCAAAAACCGCGUUUCCUUUGAUUUGAUUAUUUGUUGUGGUCGUGUUGUGUGAUUGUGUUUUUAGGCCUGCAAGAUCUGCUUUUGCUUUUGUUAUUUUGCGUGCUGCCGCUCUGUGAUUUUCUUGGCUGCAAAUUUGUGUUUCCUUUUAUUGCUUGGUGGUUCUGACUGCGGCGACUAUGUUUUGCUGCUUUAGACCUUCCGCUUUUUUUUGGGGUCUCUCCUUUUUACGUUUUACUCCGUAUUACACAAAGAAACAAUUACAAAGAACGGCGUUUUAGAGAGAGAGAGCGAGGGAAAGAGGACAAUGAAGGCGGCCACGAUGGCAAUGACGACGAUGACGAUAACGACGACGAAAAAGACAGCAAUGAAGAAGGCAAAUGACAGGACUCUGAGGAGUAAUUUGGUCUCUGUUUUUGGUGUUCGGAAUCUUCUGCCCUGUUGGUGGCUUUGAAGAGGUAACUCUUGCGAUCGACUCUACUUUUCAAUCUUAGUUACAUGAAGCUCCUCGCGGACCUUGCCGGAGCUUGAAUCAUGUCUUACCGAACAGGAAAGCUAUGUCAAGGAAUUGGAAACUAAUUUAGUUGCAGGAAAAGAAAUUAAUAGUCAUCAGCACAAUGAAUUGAAGGUGCUCAAUGAAAAGAGAAAUAACAAGGCAAGAAGAAUGGAGUCAUUGGAGAAGGAGGGUAACCGUAUUCGUUCUGAAAUUUCCCUAUUGAAUUCCAAGGUUUGUUUACCAUAACUAAACAUACUUGGCAUCCUGCUGGUUUUUUAUCGUUCUAACUCUUCAGUACCAUUAUAUAUUUGUUUGUAUGUACCACUCACAUUUUAGGUUCGUCAGAGUUUGUUUCUUCUAAGGGCAUGAGCAAGCGAGGAUUUAGAAAAUGUGGAUCCUGUUACAAUGUCGUGCACAUGUCGUGGUAUUAUUAGGUCACUCUCUGUGCAAAUACUUGUGCUAGAGUUAAGGUUGUUAUAGACAUUAUUAGUAUUGUGGUUCUAAGACUUCCUUUUAGUUGAGAAGGUCUUAAUAGGUACUAACUUGUUGUGGAAACUUGUACAUAAAAUUCUUGCAGUGAACACAACACGCACAUACUGCAAGAAACUAUGAGACAGGGUAAAAGCUUUGGGUGCGAGGGUAGUGACGGAGGAGAGAUUGCUGCUGGAAAAGUUCAAACAGGAUGCCCAAGUUUAGUACAUUUUCCAGCAAAAGCCAAUUUCUGUGUCGCCUAUGAAAAUUGUAUAAUAAUUGUUGAAAACACUAAUAAUGGGCUUUUGGACGUUUUUCCAAAUCGAAACUUUUCAAUGUUAGUAAUACUCAGAAAAGCUAUGCUGAAAGAAAAAGAAAAGUCAUAUUCAAAAUAAAAAAUUGUCAUUUUUCAGCAGAGUUCGAAGUAUGACAAAAGAAAUUCUCUUUUGUGGCCAAUAACACAGUAUGAUAGAAGAAAUAUUCAUUGUACCUAAAGCAUUUUUCUUUGUAUUCCCUUUGCAGCUGGGUUAGGCUGAUUUUUGUUCUACAAAUACAAAAGUUCUACGAAUAGUGAAUUCCCUCGUAGUUGACAAUGAGGCAAAACAGACAAUAGAUGCUUUACAAAGUCAAUUACAGAAGACGUAGGAGAGGUUGCAAGCUGUUGAGAGUUGAAAAACCAGAUAGGUAGUAAAAAUUAUUCUUUAAACUUCACGUACUUACCAUUGUUUGUGGUCCUUGUGUAGGUUGUUAUGAUAGUCAAUGAUAUAAGUGUCUCAUAACUUGUCGCAUAGAGUAAUGUAUGUCUAGAUGAGUUUAUAUUGCUUUGACCAUCUUGUUUUUAAUGUUUAUUGUGGUGUAGUUUUGCUUUCUUCUGCAGGGUAAAAGUCACGAAAUUGUCUUUCAUGUCAGUUUAUGCAAUGGGUAUGGGUGAAGUGCAAGAUCCAAACUUUCACUUUUGCUUCCUAACGCCAUAUCCUGCCCUGAACUAAUAAGGACUUUUCAGAUGCUAAUUUUCAAUUUGGGACACAUUUGUCCCUCAAUUGUUGGGGAUGCCUUCUUUACCGGUUGUCCUUAAUUGUCAUUCUGCUUCUUAUGUAUUGCGGGCUACAUGUUGGGAUAGGGGGAGAGCUUCUCAGACCUUCGCCGUCUACCCAUCUACUUUUCUUUCCUCUCCCUCUCUCUCUCUCUUUCUCUCUCUUUGCGAUCUUUCUUCACGACACUAAGAUUCAGCCAAUCGGUAAAGUAAUCGGGACUCAAAAACUUCUUUGAGCGGAAGCAAUCAUCUCUUUGCCAUUGCUGACUGUGGCCAUAGGGCUUGAUCAGAAUCUCUAUUAUUUCCCGUUUAUUUGAUUUUUAGAGAUUAUAAAAAUUAUGUUUCAGAGUUCUUUGACUUAGUGUUUCAAUUCCGUAAUUUGAUUGUUUGAUUUAGGGUUCUUAUUAUCUUUCUAUUGUUUUGUUCGAUGUAAGGUGGUUCAACUCACACACACACACCCA